AUCUAUGGCCACCCCACCCUGAAGAAGCCCAAUCCUGUCUGAUCUUGGAAGCUAAGAAGGGUCGGGCUUGGUUAAUACUUAGAUGGGAGGCCGCAUAGGAAGGCAGGUGCUGGAGGCA
rnacentral:rRNA from 1 species